rnacentral:rRNA from 1 species
GCGCAAGCCUGAUCCAGCAAUGCCGCGUGAGUGAAGAAGGCCUUCGGGUUGUAAAGCUCUUUUGUCAGGGAAGAAACGGCUCCGGCUAAUAUCCGGGGCUAAUGACGGUACCUGAAGAAUAAGCACCGGCUAACUACGUGCCAGCAGCCGCGGUAAUACGUAGGGUGCAAGCGUUAAUCGGAAUUACUGGGCGUAAAGCGUGCGCAGGCGGUUUUGUAAGUCUGUCGUGAAAGCCCCGGGCUCAACCUGGGAAUUGCGAUGGAGACUGCAAGGCUUGAAUCUGGCAGAGGGGGGUAGAAUUCCACGUGUAGCAGUGAAAUGCGUAGAGAUGUGGAGGAACACCGAUGGCGAAGGCAGCCCCCUGGGUCAAGAUUGACGCUCAUGCACGAAAGCGUGGGGAGCAAACAGGAUUAGAUACCCUGGUAGUCCACGCCCUAAACGAUGUCUACUAGUUGUCGGGUUUUAAUUAACUUGGUAACGCAGCUAACGCGUGAAGUAGACCGCCUGGGGAGUACGGUCGCAAGAUUAAAACUCAAAGGAAUUGACGGGGA